GCAGCUAGAGAGGAUCAUCGAGCGCUCUUCUUCUUCCAUGGCACGCGGUGUCGUCCUCCUGGCACUCAUCUGCUGUUGGUUAGCAUGCUCGGCGGCGGCCCAAGUUGUUCCGGACGGACGCCGUGAGCCAAGGACUCCGCCGUCGCCACUGCCCGGGAACCAGAACCCGGUGGAGGCUCCGGCCGAGAUUGCGUCGCCACCACCGCCCUUGGAGACAACGGCGCUUGCGCCGCACCGCAAGACCCUGCAGCAGGCUGUUUCGAGCGUUCCUCAUGUAUGAAGCACCUGUCGCUCCGAUAUGUUCAGUUCUUGUCUAUGCAUGUACGAUUCAUGAUGGUGCCAAUUAAGCUAACAAAUAUAAGUCCACGGGACGUGUAAUCUUACGUUCUUGGCGAUGA